rnacentral:rRNA from 1 species
UCACACGUGCUACAAUGGUUGGUACAACGAGUUGCGAGUCGGUGACGGCGAGCUAAUCUCUUAAAGCCAAUCUCAGUUCGGAUUGUAGGCUGCAACUCGCCUACAUGAAGUCGGAAUCGCUAGUAAUCGCGGAUCAGCACGCCGCGGUCGAAUACGUUCCCGGGCCUU